UACGGAGGGUGCGAGCGUUGUCCGGAAUCAUUGGGCGUAAAGGGCGCGUAGGUGGCCCGGUCAGUUCGUGGUGAAAGCCCGGGGCUCAGCUUCGGAAGUGCAUCGGAAACUAGCCAGCUGGAGCGCGAUAGAGGAGGGCGGAAUUCCUGGUGUAGCGGUGAAAUGCGUAGAUAUCAGGAGGAACACCGGCGGCGAAGGCGGCCCUCUGGACCGGCACUGACGCUGAGGCGCGAAAGCGUGGGGAGCAAACAGG
rnacentral:rRNA from 1 species